GGAUUAUUUUCGCUAAAAAGAAGGAUUUUCAAAGAGUAAAUGAAUGAUUUUCUCUUAAAUGGGGGAUUUUCAAGGAGAAAAUGGGUGAUUUUUGCGUAAAUGAGGGAUUCUCGAAGGGAAAAUGGGUGAUUUUGGGGUUAAAUGGGGGAUUUUCAAAGAGAAAAUGCAUGAUUUUCUGUUAAAUGGAUUUUCAAGGAGAAAAUGGUUGAUUUUUGCGUAAAUGAGGGAUUUUUGAAAAGGAAAUGGGUGUUUUUCGGGUUAAAUAGGGGAUUUUCAAAGAAAAAUUGGGAGAUUUUUGGGUUAAAUGGGAAAUUUUUAAAGAGAAAAUGAGCGAUUUAUGGUUAAAUCGGUUUUUUUCGAAGAGAAAAUGCAUGAUUUGGGGGAUAAAAGGGGGUUUUCGAAGAGAAAAUGGGUGAUUUUUGUGUAAAUGAGGGAUUCUCGAAGGGAAAAUGGGUGAUUUUCGCUUAAAUCAGGGAUUUUUGAAGAGAAAAUGGGUGAUUUUCGCGUAAAUGAGGGAAUUUUGAAGAGAAAAUGGGUGAUUUCUGCGUAAAUGAGGGAUUUUUGAAAAGAAAAGAGGUGAUUUUUGUGGUAAAUGGGGGAUUUUCAAAGAAACAAUGGAUUAUUUUUGCUAAAAUGAAGGAUUUUCAAAGAGUAAAUGAAUGAUUUUCGCUUAAAUGGGGGAUUUUCAAGGAGAAAAUGGGUGAUUUUUGCGUAAAUGAGGGAUUCUCGAAGGGAAAAUGGGUGAUUUUGGGGUUAAAUGGGGGAUUUUCAAAGAGAAAAUGCAUGAUUUUCUAGUUAAAUGGAUAAUUUUCAAAGAGAAAAUGGUUGAUUUUUGCAUAAAUGAGGGAUUUUUGAAAAGAAAACGGGUGAUUUUUGUGGUAAAUGGGGGAUUUUCAAAGAAAAAUGGAUUAUUUUCGCUAAAAUGAAGGAUUUUCAAAGAGUAAAUGAAUGAUUUUCGCUUAAAUGGGGGAUUUUCAAAGAGAAAAUGGUUGAUUUUUGCGUAAAUGAGGGAUUCUCGAAGGGAAAACGGCUGAUUUUGGGGUUAGAUGGGGGAUUUUCAAAGAGAAAAUGCGUGAUUUUUGGGUUAAAUGGGAAUUUUUUUUAAGAGAAAAUGAGUGAAAUUCGCUUACAUCGGGUUUUUUCGAAGAGAAAAUGCAUGAUUUUGGGGUUAAAAGGGGGAUUUUUGAAGAGAAAAUGGGUGAUUUCUGCGUAAAUGACGGAUUCUCGAAGAUAAAAUGGUUGAUUUUUGCAUAAAUGGGGGAUUUUCGAAAAGAAAACGGGUGAUUUUGGGGUUAAAUAGGGGAUUUUCAAAGAAAAAAUGCAUGAUUGUUGGGUUAAAUGGGAAUUUUUUUAAGAGCAAAUGAGUGAUUUUCGGUUAAAUUGAGUUUUUUCGAAUAGAAAAUUCAUGAUUUUGAAGAUAAAUGGGGGAUUUUCAAAGAGAAAAUGGGUGAUUUGGGGGAUAAAUGGGGGCUUUUCAAAGAGAAAAUGGGUGAUUUUCUAGUUAAAUGGGGGGUUUUCAAAGAGAAAAUGGGUGAUUUUCGCUUAAAUCAGGCAUUUUUGAAGAGAAAAUGGGUGAUUUCUGCGUAAAUGAGGGAUUCUCGAAGUGAAAACAGGUAAUUUUUGUGGUAAAUGGGGGAUUUUCAAAGAAAAAAUGGAUUAUUUUUGCUAAAAUGAAGGAUUUUCAAAGAGUAAAUGAAUGAUUUUCUCUUAAAUGGGGGAUUUUCAAGGAGAAAAUGGGUGAUUUUUGCGUAAAUGAGGGAUUCUCGAAGGGAAAAUGGGUGAUUUUGGGGUUAAAAGGGGGAUUUUCAAAGAGAAAAUGGGUGAUUUUUGGGUUAAAUGGGGGCUUUUCAAAGAGAAAAUGGGUGAUUUUUGGGUUAAAUGGGGGGUUUUCAAAGAGAAAAUGGGUGAUUUUCGCUUAGAUCAGGGAUUUUUCGAAGAGAAGAUGGUUGAUUUUUGCGUAAAUGGGGAUUUUUUAAAAGAAAACAGGUAAUUUUCGCGUUAAAUAGGGGAUUUUUGUGGAAAAAAAUGCGUGAUUUUGGGGCUAAAUGGGAAAUUUUCAAAGAGAAAAUGAGUGAUUUUUGCUUACAUCGGGUUUUUUCGAAGAGAAAAUGCAUGAUUUGAGGGAUAAAAGGGGGAUUUUUGAUGAGAAAACAGGUGAUUUUUGUGCUAAAUGGGGGAUUUUCAAAGAAACAAUGGAUUAUUUUUGCUAAAAUGAAGGAUUUUCAAAGAGUAAAUGAAUGAUUUUCUCUUAAAUGGGGGAUUUUCAAGGAGAAAAUGGGUGAUUUUUGCAUAAAUGAGGGAUUCUCGAAGGGAAAAUGGGUGAUUUUUGGGUUAAAUGGGGGAUUUUCAAAGAGAAACUGCAUGAUUUUCUAGCUAACUGGAUAUUUUUCAAUGAGAAAAUGGGUGAUUUUUGCGUAAAUGAGGGAUUUUGAAAAGAAAACAGGUUAUUUUUGUGUUAAGUGGGGGAUUUUUGAAGAGAAAAUGCAUGAUUUUCUAGUUAAAUGAAUAAUUUUCAAAGAGAAAAUGGGUGAUUUUCAGGUUAAAUGGGGGACUUUCAAGGAGAAAAUGGGUGAUUUUCGCUUAAAUCAGGGAUUUUUGAAGAGAAAACAG
ensembl:lncRNA